rnacentral:rRNA from 1 species
GACGAACGCUGGCGGCGUGCUUAACACAUGCGAGUCGAACGGAAAGGCCCUGCUUUUGUGGGGUGCUCGAGUGGCGAACGGGUGAGUAACACGUGAGUAACCUGCCCUUGACUUUGGGAUAACUUCAGGAAACUGGGGCUAAUACCGGAUAGGAGCUCCUGCUGCAUGGUGGGGGUUGGAAAGUUUCGGCGGUUGGUGAUGGACUCGCGGCUUAUCAGCUUGUUGGUGGGGUAGUGGCUUACCAAGGCUUUGACGGGUAGCCGGCCUGAGAGGGUGACCGGCCACAUUGGGACUGAGAUACGGCCCAGACUCCUACGGGAGGCAGCAGUGGGGAAUAUUGCACAAUGGGCGGAAGCCUGAUGCAGCAACGCCGCGUGCGGGAUGACGGCCUUCGGGUUGUAAACCGCUUUCGCCUGUGACGAAGCGUGAGUGACGGUAAUGGGUAAAGAAGCACCGGCUAACUACGUG